rnacentral:rRNA from 1 species
GAUGAACGCUGGCGGCGUGCCUAAUACAUGCAAGUCGAACGAAGAGACGAGGCUUUCUCUCUUCAGACGUUAGGGACGGACGGGUGAGUCACGCGUGGUCUACCUCCCUCUAAGGGUUAAGUGACGGCGACAAAGCGUAGUACAUACCACGUACUGUGUUGAACCCUUUGGUUCAUUAGAAAAAGACGGUUUUGCGGUCAGCUAUAGGCGGAUCCGCGCCGCAUUAGCUAGUUGGUAAGGUAACGGCUGAACAAGGCAACGAUGCGUAGCCGACCUGAGAGGGGGAUCGGCCACACUGGAACUGAGACACGGUCCAGACUCCUACGGGAGGCAGCAGUAGGGAAUCUUCCGCAAUGGGCGAAAGCCUGGCGGAGCAACGCCGCGUGAGUGAUGAAGGUCUUCGGAUCGUAAAACUCUGUUAUUAGGGAAGAACAAAUGUGUAAGUAACUAUGCACGUCUUGACGGUACCUAAUCAGAAAGCCACGGCUAACUACGUG